UCCUUCCGUAGGUGAACCUGCGGAGGGAUCAUUGCUGGAAGCGCCGCAAGGUGCACCCAGAAACCCUUUGUGAACUUAUACCUAUUAUCGUUGCCUCGGCGCUGGCUGCCCUGUUUUCCUUCGGGACUAUAGGGGCCCCCUUUUCAGGGGACAGCAGGCCCGCCGGCGGCCUACUUAACUCUUGUUUUUACUGAGUAUCUUCUGAGUAAAGCUUCUAAAUGAAUCAAAACUUUCAACAACGGAUCUCUUGGUUCUGGCAUCGAUGAAGAACGCAGCGAAAUGCGAUAAGUAAUGUGAAUUGCAGAAUUCAGUGAAUCAUCGAAUCUUUGAACGCACAUUGCGCCCUCUGGUAUUCCAGAGGGCAUGCCUGUUCGAGCGUCAUUUCAACCCUCAAGCCUAGCUUGGUGUUGGGGCAUUACCUGACUGUUUUACAGGAGGGUAAGCCCUGAAAUUUAGUGGCGAGCUCGCCAGGACUCCGAGCGUAGUAGUAAAACCCUCGCUUAGGAUCGUACUGGCGCGGCCCUGCCGUAAAACCCCCAACUUCUGAAAAUUUGACCUCGGAUCAGGUAGGAAUACCCGCUGAACUUAAGCAUAUCAAUAAGCGGAGGAAA
rnacentral:rRNA from 1 species